GGAGGCAGCAGUAGGGAAUCUCCGCAAUGGACGAAAGUCUGACGGAGCAACGCCGCGUGAGUGAUGAAGGUUUUCGGAUCGUAAAACUCUGUUAUUAGGGAAGAACAAAUGUGUAAGUAACUGUGCACAUCUUGACGGUACCUAAUCAGAAAGCCACGGCUAACUACGUGCCAGCAGCCGCGGUAAUACGUAGGUGGCAAGCGUUAUCCGGAAUUAUUGGGCGUAAAGCGCGCGUAGGCGGUUUCUUAAGUCUGAUGUGAAAGCCCACGGCUCAACCGUGGAGGGUCAUUGGAAACUGGGAAACUUGAGUACAGAAGAGGAAAGUGGAAUUCCAUGUGUAGCGGUGAAAUGCGCAGAGAUAUGGAGGAACACCAGUGGCGAAGGCGACUUUCUGGUCUGUAACUGACGCUGAUGUGCGAAAGCGUGGGGAUCAAACAGGAUUAGAUACCCUGGUAGUCCACGCCGUAAACGAUGAGUGCUAAGUGUUAGGGGGUUUCCGCCCCUUAGUGCUGCAGCUAACGCAUUAAGCACUCCGCCUGGGGAGUACGACCGCAAGGUUGAAAUUCAAAGGAAUUGACGGGGACCCGCACAAGCGGUGGAGCAUGUGGUUUAAUUCGAAGCAACGCGAAGAACCUUACCAAAUCUUGACAUCCUUUGAAAACUCUAGAGAUAGAGCCUUCCCCUUCGGGGGACAAAGUGACAGGUGGUGCAUGGUUGUCGUCAGCUCGUGUCGUGAGAUGUUGGGUUAAGUCCCGCAACGAGCGCAACCCUUAAACUUAGUUGCCAGCAUUUAGUUGGGCACUCUAGGUUGACUGCCGGUGACAAACCGGAGGAAGGUGGGGAUGACGUCAAAUCAUCAUGCCCCUUAUGAUUUGGGCUACACACGUGCUACAAUGGACAAUACAAAGGGCAGCUAAACCGCGAGGUCAUGCAAAUCCCAUAAAGUUGUUCUCAGUUCGGAUUGUAGUCUGCAACUCGACUACAUGAAGCUGGAAUCGCUAGUAGUCGUAGAUCAGCAUG
rnacentral:rRNA from 1 species